rnacentral:rRNA from 1 species
GACGAACGCUGGCGGCGUGCCUAAUACAUGCAAGUAGAACGCACAGUUUAUACCGUAGCUUGCUACACCAUAGACUGUGAGUUGCGAACGGGUGAGUAACGCGUAGGUAACCUGCCUGGUAGCGGGGGAUAACUAUUGGAAACGAUAGCUAAUACCGCAUAAUAUUGAUUAUUGCAUGAUAAUUAAUUGAAAGGUGCAAUUGCACCACUACCAGAUGGACCUGCGUUGUAUUAGCUAGUAGGUGAGGUAACGGCUCACCUAGGCGACGAUACAUAGCCGACCUGAGAGGGUGAUCGGCCACACUGGGACUGAGACACAGCCCAGACUCCUACGGGAGGCAGCAGUAGGGAAUCUUCGGCAAUGGACGAAAGUCUGACCGAGCAACGCCGCGUGAGUGAAGAAGGUUUUCGGAUCGUAAAGCUCGGUUGUAAGAGAAGAACGGGUGUGAGAGUGGAAAGUUCACACUGUGACGGUAUCUUACCAGAAAGGGACGGCUAACUACGUG